AUUGAACGCUGGCGGCAUGCCUUACACAUGCAAGUCGAACGGUAACAGGUCUUCGGAUGCUGACGAGUGGCGAACGGGUGAGUAAUACAUCGGAACGUGCCCGAUCGUGGGGGCUAACGAAGCGAAAGCUUUGCUAAUACCGCAUACGAUCUACGGAUGAAAGCAGGGGACCGCAAGGCCUUGCGCGAACGGAGCGGCCGAUGGCAGAUUAGGUAGUUGGUGGGAUAAAAGCUUACCAAGCCGACGAUCUGUAGCUGGUCUGAGAGGACGACCAGCCACACUGGGACUGAGACACGGCCCAGACUCCUACGGGAGGCAGCAGUGGGGAAUUUUGGACAAUGGGCGAAAGCCUGAUCCAGUCAUGCCGCGUGCAGGAUGAAGGCCUUCGGGUUGUAAACUGCUUUUGUACGGAACGAAAAGACUCUGGUUAAUACCUGGGGUCCAUGACGGUACCGUAAGAAUAAGCACCGGCUAACUACGUG
rnacentral:rRNA from 1 species